rnacentral:rRNA from 1 species
CCCUUAGAUGUUCUGGGCCGCACGCGCGCUACACUGAUGCAUUCAACGAGUCUAAAACCUGAUCUGAUAGGGCUGGGUAAUCUUUUGAAUGUGCAUCGUGAUUGGGAUAGAUGAUUGCAAUUCUUCAUCUUCAACGAGGAAUGCCUAGUAAACGCAAGUCAUCAGCUUGCAUUGAUUACGUCCCUGCCCUUUGUACACACCGCCCGUCGCUCCUACCGAUUGAAUGUUCCGAUGAAUACCAUGGACUGAGAGUAUGAAUGGGUUCGCCUAUUUCUGCUUCUCGGGAAGUGGAGUAAAUCUUAACAUUUAGAGGAAGGAGAAGUCGUAACA